GUAUGAUUAGGAUAGCUGUUAAAUAAAUUUUACAGACUUUUGCAUGGUUGAACACGUGGAGAUCUUCUGGUCGUUGUUAGCUGUUCAUAUGGACACACUUUUAGCUGAACAGCCUCCAGAUACAUGGGAUUGUUUUCCAGUGAAGAUGGUAAUCAAUUAUAUUUUUAACCAUGUUUUUAUAUAUACAUCACAUGUUAAAAUUCAGUAGUUAACUUUCUUAAAAUUGAAAGAAUGCCUCUGUUCAACAUCAAAAUUUGUUAUUGGAGAAUGUUUAAAAUAAUAACAAGAUUUAAUGCAAUAUUUACACUAAUAAUCACAAAGAAAAAUGUUCUUAAAAGUAAUAUUAUUUACAAUACAUAAGGAAAUUAUUAUUAAGUGGAAAAAAUCUAAAAAAUGGCUAAAACAUGAAUAAUCCACCCACCCACUGCAUGUAUCUUCAGCAUCCUAAUGUUGCUUAUUAGUAUAUUAUGUGCAUUUUUCACUUAAGCACCACUUUUCUUCAGAAAACUUAUGCGGAGGGAGGUUCCAUCAACAACUUACAUUUGCUCUCCAAGUAGUCCGUUAUGUGGAUCUAAUGGAAUCAUCUAUUGCUCAAUCCCUUCAUAAAGGCUGUGAAAAAGAACGAUGGGAAUUCAAAGGCUUAAUUUGAAAGGUUUCCACUCACUGUACACCCUGUGGCAGAAUCGCAGCGACAUUGUUGCAGUACGUUAGAGUUUUUCCAGAAAGAAUUUUCUUUUGAAAAGCAUGGAUGCAUUACUUCUGAAGAUCUUUUUUGGAAACUAGAUGCAUUACAAUCUUUCAUCCGGGACCUGCAUUGGCCUGAUGAAGUUUUUGCCAAACAUUUGGAACAAAGAUUAAAACUCAUGGCAUGUGAUAUGUUGGUGUCUUAUAUUAACAGGCAUGGAAAUUCAGAAAGGUGGAAUUGCUUAAGGAAUUCCUUCAUUAAAGAGUUGAGGGACCAAACGGAGAAUCAUUCUUUUGAUGGUGGCAGACAUAGGAAGAAAAGCCCGUAUUUUUCAGAUCUGCUUUUUCUGAUAACCGUUUUAGCGUCGAAAACAAUAUCCAACAUUCCCAAUGGUGAAAAAGAGGAAAGAAAUGAUGACUCAUCAGAAAUACCAAUUUCCUCUGAGGGAAAAAAAAAGAAAGCUGGAGAUGGACACUUCUGAAAGGGCGGUAUAAGAAC